UACGAAGGGGGCUAGCGUUGCUCGGAUUUACUGGGCGUAAAGGGCGCGUAGGCGGACAGUUUAGUCAGAGGUGAAAGCCCAGGGCUCAACCUUGGAAUUGCCUUUGAUACUGGCUGUCUUGAGUGCGGGAGAGGUGAGUGGAACUCCGAGUGUAGAGGUGAAAUUCGUAGAUAUUCGGAAGAACACCAGUGGCGAAGGCGACUCACUGGCCCGUUACUGACGCUGAGGCGCGAAAGCGUGGGGAGCAAACAGG
rnacentral:rRNA from 1 species